CAACAAGUCAAGGGAAAACAGGAAGUACAGCGACACAAGAUGAUGAUGAAGAUAGUGAUGAGAAAAAUUGUUAAAGUUGAAGAAGAAGAUGAUUUGAAAAUGGAGCCAAGCUAGUAUCUUCGCCAGUGAACUCUACAAGAAGUUAUUUGGAGGUCACUUAUCUGCUCUGGCAACAUACAAGACAUGCCUCGACGCUUAGCUAAACAUUUUUCCUUUAUUUAGUACAGAGGCCACGAUAAUAUUAUGCACUGAACGUGAUAAAUGAAUAACUACUGAUCUAUUCAUUGAGUACAACCUUUCAUAAAUUAUAUUUCUACUUACAUUGUACAUAU